rnacentral:rRNA from 1 species
GUUUUUAAUUGAAAUCUUGAAUGAAUGGUUUCAUGAAAUAUAGGCUUUUUUAAUUUUAAUAUUUGAAUUUUAUUUUUAAGUUAAAAAGCUUAUUUAAUAUAAAGGGACGAGAAGACCCUAUAGAAUUUUAUAGUUUUAUUUUUAUAAAUUAAUUUUAAAAUUAUUUUUAAAAAAUGUAAAUUAUUUUAUUGGGGAGAUAUUUAAAUUUAAAAAACUUUAGUUUUUAUAAUCAAAAAUUUUUGUAUUUAUGAUCUUUUAUUAUUGAUUAAAAACUUAAAUUACCUUAGGGAUAACAGCAUAAUAAUUUUAAAAAGUUCUUAUUUUUAAAAUAGUUUAU